UUAACUGCUUGAGUGGUCUCAGCAUGGGCUCAUUCCCCAUAGCAUUAAAAAGUUCGAUUCUUUUUAGCAGUCUAA
rnacentral:tRNA from 1 species